CGUACAGUCUCUCUCUCUCUCUCUCUCUCUCUCUUCCCCGACCUUUCUUCUUCUUCUUCUCUUCCUCUGCCAUCACCGGAGACCACCACCUCCGGCCACCAUUUCACAAAACCGCCACCAUCAAUUGAUGCAACCCCUAAAUCUGAUCAGAGCCCGAGCCAUACCGUCACCAUGCACCUCCUGCAGCCACCGCACGGGAGAAUCACAGUUCCACCGCCUUACUCCUUGAUCUUCGUCGGUUUCUGGCUAUCUUUUCAAUACACCUCCGCUACCAUCGUGCCCAGAACAAUCUGAACUUUCAAACCCAGAAGUUUUGUCGACUACUGAGGCCCGAAAGCCACCGCACACGGCGUCGCCGGAGACGUCGACUCUGUGGCUCUUCGUUCUUUAAUCUCUGGCCACAUUCGAGCUGCACGACCACGAUAACCCGAGUCAGGAUUUUACGAGCUACCAAAUCCCAAAACCCCGACCUCCAGUUCCGGCCAGAGCUGCCGCACGCUCUGCCACUGGCAUGUGGACCACCACAGCUCCGUCACUGGAUUCCCAGGCGCCUCUAUUAGGUAAACUGUCGUUUCUUUGCUUAGGUUGGAGCUUCUGGCUGUUGUGGAAUGGAACCCUAACGUAAUGUGUUCAAUUUUGAUUGUGAGGUUUUGGUGAAAUCUGUGUAUUGGGUGUAUGGAACCUUAAGCUUGGAAUUGGAUGCAGGAAAUGGGAAAUCCAUUACUCAGUGAUGAGGACUUUGGAAGGGGCACUGAAGAGUAGGAGAUUGGCUUUAUAUCGAGAUUCUUGGCAGUAAAGAAAAGGCGAAAUGGUAAGGGUCGGGCUUUGGAUCGUGAACUAUGUUUUAUUGAAGUUGAGGUUUUAUGGAUUUUAUGAAGUAGAAUGAAUACAGUUAUUCUUGUUAAUAUUAUGGUGAUAUUGAUAUGUGGUUGAAUAGAAUGAAAUUGAUUUGGAAUUGCUCUU
rnacentral:lncRNA from 1 species